rnacentral:rRNA from 1 species
UGCCAGCAGCCGCGGUAACACGGGGGGCGCAAGCGUUAUUCGGAAUUACUGGGCGUAAAGCGCGCGUAGGCGGCUAUUUAAGUCAGAUGUGAAAGUCCACGGCUCAACCGUGGAAGUGCAUUUGAAACUGGAUGGCUUGAGUACUGGAGGGGGUGGUGGAAUUCCCGGUGUAGAGGUGAAAUUCGUAGAUAUCAAGAGGAACACCGGUGGCGAAGGCGGCUCUCUGGUCCAUUUCUGACGCUGAGGUGCGAAAGCUAGGGUAGCGAACGGGAUUAGAUA